rnacentral:rRNA from 1 species
UACAGGGGGUGCAAACGUUGCUCGGAAUUAUUGGGCGUAAAGGGUGCGUAGGCGGGUCUUUAAGUCAGGGGUGAAAUCCUGGAGCUCAACUCCAGAACUGCCUUUGAUACUGAGGAUCUUGAGUACGGGAGAGGUGAGUGGAACUGCGAGUGUAGAGGUGAAAUUCGUAGAUAUUCGCAAGAACACCAGUGGCGAAGGCGGCUCACUGGCCCGGUACUGACGCUGAGGUGCGAAAGCGUGGGGAGCAAACAGG